rnacentral:misc_RNA from 1 species
AAGAUUCGGGCUUCGGCCUAACCUCUUCAGCUGUGCGCUUCGGCUGCACGCUGUCGAAACCUCUCACACCUGUGCACCUUUUCGGUUGCGGCGUUCGCGUCGCUUCCGCUUUACACAUUUUACUACAAAAGUCCAGAAUGUCAAAACUAUAAACAUAAUA